rnacentral:rRNA from 1 species
GACGAACGCUGGCGGCGUGCUUAACACAUGCAAGUCGAACGGAAAGGCCCUGCUUUUGUGGGGUGCUCGUGUGGCGCACGGGUGAGUAACACGUGAGUAACCUGCCCUUGACUUUGGGAUAACUUCAGGAAACUGGGGCUAAUACCGGAUAGGAGCUCCUGCUGCACGGGGUGCGUUGGAAAGUUUCGGCGGUUGUGGAUGGUCUCGAGGCUUAUCAGCUUCUUUGUCGGGUAGUGGCUUACAAAGGCUAUGACGGGUAGGCGGCAUGGGAGGGGGAACGGCCACAUGAGGACUGCGAGACGGACCAGACGCGUACGGGAGGCAGCAGGGGGGAAUAUGGCACAAUGGGCGGACGCCUGAUGCAGCAACGCCGCGUGCGUGAUGACGGCCUUCGGGUGGUAAACCGCUUUCGCCUGUGACGAAGCGUGAGUGACGGUAAUGGGUAAAGAAGCACCGGCUAACUACGUG